rnacentral:rRNA from 1 species
GAUGAACGCUAGCGGCAGGCCUAAUACAUGCAAGUCGAACGGUGUCUUCGGACAUAGUGGCGCACGGGUGCGUAACACGUAUGCAACCUACCUUACAUUGGGGGAUAGCCUUUCGAAAGGGAGAUUAAUACCGCAUAAGACAGUAGCUGGGCAUCCAGCAGCUGUUAAAGAUUUAUCGAUGUAAGCUGGGCAUGGGUCCAAUUAGCUAGUUGGUGAGGUAACGGCUCACCAAGGCAAUGAUUGGUAGGGGAUCUGAGAGGUCAAUCCCCCACACUGGCACUGAGAUACGGGCCAGACUCCUACGGGAGGCAGCAGUAGGGAAUAUUGGGCAAUGGACGCAAGUCUGACCCAGCCAUGCCGCGUGCAGGAUGAAGGCGUUAUGCGUUGUAAACUGCUUUUAUACAGGAAGAAACGACUCUUGCGAGAGGCAUUGACGGUACUGUAUGAAUAAGCACCGGCUAACUCCGUGCCAGCCGCCGCAGUAAGAC